CGUAGUUAAAACAGUCGAUAUUAUCAUUUCUCCUAUAUUACUGCCAGUCUCUUGUGGCUCCUUUGCCAAUACGAAAAUUUACUCACGCUUGAAAGUUUUUAUUAUUACCUUGUCGAUAUUGUUGUUAAUAUUACCUUGUUGAUAUUGUUAAUGGACGUUUAAAUGGAAAAUUGAUACAUUUUAUAAUAAAUUAAAAGAUUGUCAGUGCACGGCAGGCACUGGGAAAGAAGCUGAGCGCCACCGGCAGUCAGAGAUCAGAAUGGUAUGGAAAAGUUAAUGGAGCUAUUAGAGAAAAGUAUAUUAACUAAAUCAUAGUAGGAAAAAUACUUGAUAUAUCUUAUUUAUGGCUAUAUUUUUAAUUUGUCUGGGUCAGAAUGGUCAGAAUGGUAUGGAAAAGUUAGUGGAGCUGUUAGAGGAAAAUAUAGUAACUAAAUCACAGUCAGAAUGGUAUGGAAAAGUUAAUGGAACUGUCCUCACUCCUCAAUGACUUUGAUAACUUAUUAUUUGCUAAGAAUUCUGUCAGCCUAGAAUGUGUUAUUGAAGAUGUUACAUUAAAUGAAUCAUUAAAUAGAGAGAUUGAAACAUUUCUAAGACAAUUAACUUCAUAUUUUUUAUUACAUGCUUCACACAAAGCAUUGGAAUAGCUCAUAUACAAUAUCUCAUUUGUAUUGCUGCUUUUACCACUUCAUGAAUCUCAUAUAUUUUUCAGCACAGAUUUGAUGAUAAAUUCUUGAAGAUGCUAUGCAACCAUAUAACUACUGUGAAGAUCCAUACCAAGCAUUUCAGCUAAUUACUUUGUAUAUUUUUUAUAUUAUAUAGAAGUUAUAUCAUAUUGAGUUACAAUUGAAUAGACAACAGAGAGCCAAGUCAGCUAACUGAUUGUAUUUUGCUUAGCUUCCUUUGUCAGUAUCUCAUUUCUGAUUGAUGGUUGAAGAUCAAGUAUGUGAAACUUUACGUCAGAAGAACCACAUAAAAUGGUUUGAUGAAAAUCACAAGGAAACUUGGAGAUUUCCUGUCAUUUCUACCGGGAACGAUGUCUUUCUCGGAAAUAUUAGAAGACGAAGACGCAACGAUGGGAAGUUGUUUACGUCUUAGAGGAGAUUUUAGGUGAACCUUUACAGAAAUAUUCCUAAAUAUAUUUGAAUGUGUUAGUUUGAACUACAAAGUAAUUGUAAAUAUUUUUAUUAAGAACAUGCGUGGAAACAUCUUUUUUAAACAGAGAGAAUUCUUUUUUCAAAGUUAUUCUAUAUAUUUCCAAUAUAAACAGAUGUGUAAAAAUGUAUUGGAUAACUACUAACAGCGAAUAAACAUAUAAGUAAACAUUGUAAAUGAAAUCAGAAAAGAAUAUAAGUGAAUCAAAUGUCAAA